rnacentral:rRNA from 1 species
CGUAGGGUGCAAGCGUUAAUCGGAAUUACUGGGCGUAAAGCGUGCGCAGGCGGUUAUGCAAGACAGAUGUGAAAUCCCCGGGCUUAACCUGGGAACUGCAUUUGUGACUGCAUAGCUGGAGUACGGCAGAGGGGGAUGGAAUUCCGCGUGUAGCAGUGAAAUGCGUAGAUAUGCGGAGGAACACCGAUGGCGAAGGCAGUCCCCUGGGCCUGUACUGACGCUCAUGCACGAAAGCGUGGGGAGCAAACAGGAUUAGAUACCCUGGUAGUCCACGCCCUAAACGAUGUCAACUGGUUGUUGGGAGGGUUUCUUCUCAGUAACGUAGCUAACGCGUGAAGUUGACCGCCUGGGGAGUACGGCCGCAAGGUUG